rnacentral:lncRNA from 10 species
AGAAAUCAAAAUAUUUAUUCACAUAAUUUUAAACUAAAGUUGAAGACAAUAAAUCUUCCGCUGGUAAUGAUUUAAGUGCAAGUGAUGUUUGGCUUUCUUUCACAUUCAUUUCUUUUCUUCAGAGUGAAGGCAUAUCAGUUAUUCUUGAACAAGUCAAUACAGCUCUGCAAAAGGGAGACACUGUUCCUCGCAUGUUUUAUUUCCAGUUCAGACAUUUCAAUUAGAUUCUUUCUAAAUGCUGCCACUUUCUUCCGUUUGAAAUUUAUCAGUUCUUCCUUUGCAGAUUUGGAAAGCUAUUCAAAUUUCUGGCAGCACUCCUCCUAGUGUACCUUAGCCAACUUGACAUCUUUGCUCUUUAAACUGGGCCUUAUCCAGAGCUUUGUUUGAUUUUUCAUAGUCAAUGAGGGCUUUGGUGCAUCUGUGUAAGAGAUCCUUAGCAGCUUCGAUGUUGAGCAUGUAGUAUCGGAGGAGCUCUGUUAGCUUUAAAUCUUCAUCUGAUGAGAUUCAACCCUCUACUUUCCUAAGUUUUUCAAAUAGCUCAGCAACCUUCAAUAGAUACUUUUUGAUGACUGUGGGCUCUUCUAAAGCCAGGCUAUGUAAGCAGGCUGCAGUGUGAAUAUAGUCAUCGGCAACAUUUUUAUGAGAUCUGGUCAUUUUGUCAGCUUUCACACAAGAAUCUUUGAUCCUACUCUAAUAGUUAAUAAGGAAGUCAUUCUCUUGCUCAAAGAAGUCAUCUACCUCCUUAACUCCAGUAAAAAGGACUGCAUCAGCACUUUCACCACACUUUUGAAGAAGCCACCAAACAUCUCUUUAGUAUUUUUCCACCUAACACUUAGAUCCUGAUCAUAUUCCAGGAAAAUAUGAAAGUUGCGAUCUUUACUGAGAACAGGGUGAGAAGAAAGCCACUAAAGAAAGGCUUCAUGGGAGGACACAGUCUUCUUAAAAACAGCGAGAUACUCAGCUUCCAGUUCUUAUUUCAUCUUGGCAAAUUCUUCUUUGGUCAAAGACCCUUUACCUUCUCCCAGUUUCUGCAUCUUCUCUCAAGGACCAUUGAAGUCAGCCUUCGUAGGAGCAGGCGGAAUCUGCAGCAGAGUUCUAGGGUACAUGAAGAGUGUCAUGUAGUCACACAAAGUCCUCAUGUUGCCUUGUAACAGAAAACUCUGGAUUCUGAAAUGUGGGCAGUGUGGUCUUUGUGUGCACUGUAAAUUUGACCUUAUCUCUCUCACUGAGCGCAUCAGGUAUGUCAAUCUGAAGUGAGGGAUCAACAUUCAGGUCCACAGAUACAGAUCUCAGCUUCCUGUGGUCCUCCUCCUGCUGCUGCAGCAACUCAGGAACUGUGGCCAUGGCAACGCAGGACUCAAGCAGG